GUCCUACGGGAGGCAGCAGUGAGGAAUAUUGGUCAAUGGACGAAAGUCUGAUGGAGCAACGCCGCGUGAGUGAAGAAGGGUUUCGGCUCGUAAAGCUCUGUUGGUAGUGAAGAAAGAUAGAGGGAGUAACUGGCCUUUAUUUGACGGUAAUUACUUAGAAAGUCACGGCUAACUACGUUCCAGCAGCCGCGGUAAUACGUAGGUGGCAAGCGUUGUCCGGAUUUAUUGGGCGUAAAGCGA
rnacentral:rRNA from 1 species